GCCGGGGUAGCUCAGUGGUAGAGCAGAGGAUUGAAAAUCCUUGUGUCACCAGUUCAAUCCUGGUCCUUGGCA
rnacentral:tRNA from 1 species